ACGAGGCAGAGGAAAACAAAGGAGGAGCAUUGAGCACCUACGUGGGGAGCAGGCACUGCUUGUCAUCCAGGGAUCUAGAAGGUCACAGGACAGAUGCAAUCCCUACCUCACGAAGUGUGUCAUAUCCCGAAGGAGCUGGGCAUGCAGAGUGUCAGGUGUUGGGGAGCUGGGCAUGCAGAGUGUCAGGUGCUGCUUUGAUUUUUCCUGACCACCACUCUUUUGUCCUACUCAUGCUGCCCAAAACGGUAUUAUCUGAUUUGAUUUCCACAACAAACCAUGUGUCAUACAAACUGGGACAAUGCCAGGCAUCUGUCAUCCUGUACCU
rnacentral:lncRNA from 1 species